GAGCUCAACCUCUGCGAGUUGAGAUAUGCCGACUACGAAAAUCUUGCUCUUUGUCUCCGUCGGUGCCAAAACAUUCUACAUCCAGGCCCACCAAGGGACUUCAGCUCCAGACGUCUUUUCUGUCCUCAGUGCCCAGCUCCCAGCAUCCUCUCUGUUUUCGCGACCCAAGCUCCUAUCAACCCGUGUCCCCAGGACCACAGCUCUGAGUGACUCCUUUCCUUUUGCAUUCUGUUUACCCUUCUGUAAAUUGGAGAAAGAGGUGGUCAGCCUGGAUUAUCUCUCUCCCUCCAGGGCUCACAGUCUCUGUGUUAAAAUACGUGCAAGGGAAGUGUCCAACCUGGAUUGGAAAUGCUGAGUUGGGGGUAGCUCAGAGUUAUCUUUGCCCCUAAGAACCUAUAGGUCCCUUUGCAGAGGGCUCUAAUCAAUACCUCUUGUUCCAGGUGCAGGGCAUCCUGGGAGAUCUUUUGGUUCUCAUUUGCCUUCUUUGGACCCUAUCAUUUCUCCUACCCGAGGACAUCACUACAGUAGUAGUUCUGUUCCCAUCCUACUCCAGAGUACUUUAUCCAUUAGAGUUUUCAUGAAAGUGAGAGCAAAUCCAACCCCACUGGCUUAAGAGAAAGAAAAUCAUUUCACGUAUAAGAAAAGUCUCAGAUAUGGCUGGCUUCAGCAUGGUCUGUUCAUCUCUCUGUCCUAAGAAUAAAUAGCUCCCCUCAUGUUGCAGGAUGGCUGGCAAAUACCCCUGGGGCCACACUCUUCCUUCACAUUUGGGAGGAAUAUAGAGAGAAAAAGACAGACGAAUAGGCUGAGAGAGCCAGACUGAUGGAGACUGUGGAGGGAAGAGAGAAAGGAAGAGAAUAGACUUUAAGAAGCUCCUCAAAAGAGAAGGAAAAUAUUUCCCCCAGAAGCCCCUAGAAAAAAACUUCGUUGUGUCUCAUCGGUCCGGAUGAUGCCAUCUGCCCAUCAUGGAACCAAUAUUAGUGGCCAGGGGACGAGAUUGAACUGAUUGAAUUAAGCGUGAGCCAAAGGCUCAUCCCACCCCCAGGCCAGAGGUGAAACCAGCUUUCUCAAACAGAAAUGAUAUUGGGGAGACAGCUACUGCGCCUGUGAUUGCGGGGAGGGGAAGGGAAAGGCUGCACACCAUGAGCUCACCAUUUCUGACUUUUUGAAGUUCUGGAAUGGUGCAGUGGUUGUUAGUUGUUGACUCAGAGUCAUUCUGCGAGGUAAUAGAAAUAUAUAUUUGGUCUUUGCCCCCAAUUCCUGGCACAGAUCUCCUGAAACCCUCAUAAUUCCUUGGGUGAUAGAAGUGUCUUUUGUUUUAAUGAGGUGGCUCUGGGUGAGUUCCUGGAUGAGAGCUGGUCACCUGAAAGACCAAGCCAUGAUUAGAAGCCUGAAAUUUUCAGCUCUGCCCUGCCCCUUCUCUUGAGAAGAAGAAGGGCUGAAAAAUGGAGUUAAUGACCUUUCACGCCUAUGUGAUGAAACCUCCGUAAAAAUCCCAAAGGGUUUUCCAGAAACACCAAGACAUGCGAUGUCGCCCCAGACUGAAUGCAGAAGCGGAAAUGAGGAGCCAGCUGUCUUCUAUUAAGCCAGACAUUAAAGAGAUUUGCAAAACUGUAGAAAAAUGCCAGUCUUUCUCGUUAAAUUUUUUCAUUUUGGAAAAUAUAGUUAUUUUUUUCAUAAAGAUAUGUUCACAUGUAAUGAGUUUUUGUUAUUUUAAAACGAAUAACUACAUCUUGUACACAUUUCUCAGUCUUAAUUUCUAACGCAGUAAAUACCUAUAGAUAUAA